rnacentral:lncRNA from 1 species
CUUUAAGAAUCAUUCAAUCAAUAAAGUUGAAUUUCUCAUCGUGGAUGGCUUCUCCUCUCUUCCUUCCUCCUUUUUAUUUUUCUUUCUGCAAUGAGACGCGCCUUGAUGCUUUUGUCUUCCGAUGGCAGUGUCCUGCCACAGUGCUUCCCCUACCACGGGGGAUCCCGCUGAAGUCCACGAUCCAGCGUCUGAAGAAGGAAGUUCAUCAUUUGAUGAAGAGGUCGAAGAAGAUGGAUGGCGAACUCCGCAGGUUGAGG